rnacentral:rRNA from 1 species
UACGUAGGGUGCGAGCGUUGUCCGGAUUUAUUGGGCGUAAAGCGCACGUAGGCGGAUAUUUAAGUCAGGGGUGAAAUCCCAGAGCUCAACUCUGGAACUGCCUUUGAUACUGGGUAUCUUGAGUAUGGAAGAGGUAAGUGGAAUUGCGAGUGUAGAGGUGAAAUUCGUAGAUAUUCGCAGGAACACCAGUGGCGAAGGCGGCUUACUGGUCCAUUACUGACGCUGAGGUGCGAAAGCGUGGGGAGCAAACAGG